rnacentral:rRNA from 1 species
UUGGAGGGCAAGUCUGGUGCCAGCAGCCGCGGUAAUUCCAGCUCCAAUAGCGUAUAUUAAAGUUGUUGCAGUUAAAAAGCUCGUAGUUGAACCUCGGGGUCUACCCAUUGGUCAGGCUUAAUUGUCUGCACUGGUGAGAUGGAUCUCUACCUCCUGAGGAACUUUCAUGCCAUUCAUUUGGUGUGAUGGGAAAUCAGGACUGUUACUUUGAAAAAAUUAGAGUGUUUAAAGCAGACUAUCGUCUGAAUACAUUAGCAUGGAAUAAUGAAAUAGGACGGACUGAUUCUAUUUCGUUGGUUUCUAGGAUCACCGUAAUGAUUAAUAGGGAUAGUUGGGGGCAUUAGUAUUCAAUUGUCAGAGGUGAAAUUCUUGGAUUUAUUGAAGACUAACUACUGCGAAAGCAUUUGCCAAGGAUGUUUUCAUUAAUCAAGAACGAAAGUUAGGGGAUCGAAGACGAUCAGAUACCGUCGUAGUCUUAACCAUAAACUAUGCCGACUAGGGAUCGGACGAAGUUAAUUUUAUAAUGACGCGUUCGGCGCCUUACGGGAAAC